rnacentral:lncRNA from 1 species
AAGAAUUAGAUGUAUGUUCACCUGAAUUUAGUUUCUUGAGAGCAGAAAGUGAAGUUAAAAAACAGAAAGGCCGGAUGCUAGGUGAUGUGCUAAUGGAUCAGAACGUAUUGCCUGGAGUAGGGAACAUCAUCAAAAAUGAAGCUCUCUUUGACAGUGGUCUCCACCCAGCUGUUAAAUUCUCUUUCACAGAAUUGGCAAGGCGUAUUAUUUC